rnacentral:misc_RNA from 1 species
UUUCCUUAGGUGAACCUACGAAAGGAUCAUUGUCGAACCCUGCAUAGCAGAACAACCCGCGAACACGUUGAAAAACACAUUUGGGGGAUGCAUGCACGGGACAAGGCGACAGCCCCCCAUGCAUGCAACCCCUUCCUUGUGGUGCCGGUGCAAUUCUCGCCAAGGAAAACUUUAAACUCAAGAGCGUGCUCUCCUCACGUUGCCCCCGUUUGCGGGUGCGCGACUGGGUGUUUGCCCACUCCUUAGUGAAAACAUAAAUGACUCUUGCCAACGGAUAUCUCGGCUCUC